GAUGAACGCUGGCGGCGUGCCUAAUACAUGCAAGUCGAGCGAACGGACGAGAAGCUUGCUUCUCUGAUGUUAGCGGCGGACGGGUGAGUAACACGUAGAUAACCUACCUAUAAGACUGGGAUAACUUCGGGAAACCGGAGCUAAUACCGGAUAAUAUUUUGAACCGCAUGGUUCAAAAGUGAAAGACGGUCUUGCUGUCACUUAUAGAUGGAUCCGCGCUGCAUUAGCUAGUUGGUAAGGUAACGGCUUACCAAGGCAACGAUGCAUAGCCGACCUGAGAGGGUGAUCGGCCACACUGGAACUGAGACACGGUCCAGACUCCUACGGGAGGCGGCAGUAGGGAAUCUUCCGCAAUGGGCGAAAGCCUGACGGAGCAACGCCGCGUGAGUGAUGAAGGUCUUCGGAUCGUAAAACUCUGUUAUUAGGGAAGAACAUAUGUGUAAGUAACUGUGCACAUCUUGACGGUACCUAAUCAGAAAGCCACGGCUAACUACGUG
rnacentral:rRNA from 1 species